CCUACGGGAGGCAGCAGUGGGGAAUAUUGCACAAUGGGGGGAACCCUGAUGCAGCGACGCCGCGGGAGUGAAGAAGUAUGUCGGUAGGUAAAGCUCGAGCAGCAGGGAAGAAGAUGACGGUACCUGACUAAGAAGCCCCGGCUAACGACGUGCCAGCAGCCGCGGUAAUACGGAGGGGGCAAGCGUUAGCCGGAUUUACUGGGUGGAAAGGGAGCGUAGCCGGCAGGGCAAGUCUGGAGGGAAAGCCCGGGGCCCAACCCCGGGACUGCUUUGGAAACUGCCAUGCUAGAGUGCUGGCGAGGUAAGCGUACUUCCUUUUGUAGCGGUUACUUGCGUAGAUCUUCGGCGGCACCCCAGUGGCGAAGGCGGCUUACUGGACCGUAACUGACGUUGAGGCUCGAAAGCGUGGGGAGCACACAGGAUUAGAUACCCCUGUAGUC
rnacentral:rRNA from 1 species